rnacentral:misc_RNA from 1 species
GAUUGGAUUAGAUAAAUGGAGGUCUUCAACAACAAAACCCUGUUGCUCUGGUUUAGCCUCUAAUAAAUCGAUGAUAUAUCAAGCAAAGUGGUGCCCAAAUAAAAACAAAAGGUUAUACCAAAAAUCACAAUUAUGCAAACAAAGGAACAAGGGGUUCUGCAACAUGAUGGGGAAGAAAAUAGGCCCUGCAGUUCAAUAAGUUGUACAGAAGAUAAAUGAAUGAUAUAAUACUUGGUACACCACCCCAUGUUUUCUUUUUCUGGAAGGAAGAGGGGGAAACUCCAGCCUCAAUUGUAGACCAUAUACUUGGGGGUUGCACUGAACUUUUGAUAUCCCUUGAUCACCUUGUUCACGGCAUCAAGGAAGUCCUUCUCUGUCACGGUCUUCCUUCGAGCUCGGAUGGCGUACAUUCCAGCUUCUGUGCAGACACUCCUAAUAUCGGCCCCUGUAGAAUUCGGACAAAGCCUAGCCAAGAGUUCAAACCGGAUGUCCCUCUCACAAUUCAUGGUUCUUGUAUGGAUUUUAAAGAUCUGUGUCCUACUCUCCAAAUCAGGAAGCCCAAACUCAACCUUACGAUCAAGCCUUCCAGGUCGCAGCAGAGCUGGAUCAAGUGUAUCAGGCCUGUUCGUUGCCAUCAGAACUUUGAUGUUUCCACGUGCAUCAAAACCAUCUAGUUGAUUCACAAUUUCAAGCAUAGUACGUUGGACCUCAUUGUCGCCGCCAACACCAUCAUCAAAACGAGCACCUCCUAUGGCAUCAACUUCAUCGAAAAACACAAUGCAAGCCUUUUUGGAGCGUGCCAUCUGAAAUAGUUCUCUGACCAUCCGAGCCCCCUCACCAACGUAUUUUUGAACAAGCUCACUCCCAAUGACACGAAUAAAGCAGGCAUCUGUUCUGUUAGCUACAGCUCGUGCUAGAAGUGUUUUGCCUGUUCCAGGAGGACCAUAGCACAGAACUCCUUUUGGAGGAUCAAUUCCAAGCUUUACAAACUUCUCAGGAUGAAGCAUAGGUAACUCAACAACCUCUCGCAUUUUCUCUAUCUGCUCCUUACAUCCACCA